rnacentral:SRP_RNA from 1 species
GCCGGGUGCAGUGGCUCACACCUGUAAUCCCAGCACUUUGGGAGGCCGAGGCGGGAGGAUCACUUGAGGUCAGGAGUUCCAGACCAGCCUGACCAACAUAGUGAAAACCCGUCUCUA